GUUAUUAACACAAACCUAGGUCUAAACAUCUUCACCGCAGUGGAGAAAGUUACCAUUUUCUGGCAUGGCAGGUCGAAAGUCAUCAGCUCUAAUCCCUGAGCGCUGGAAAUUGGUCACUGAAAGCCAGCCAGACGGGUCAAAACUUUCGUACUAUCUGUGUCCAGAAAGUGGACAACAAUUUAAUACAUAUGAAGAUCUAAUCCGUUAUGUCAACUAUGCUAAAGAGGCUGAGCUCUCCAUCUAUUCACCUGUGAGUUUGGACUUCAUUGUGUCCUGCAUGGUGUUUUUAGUUUAUCAAUUCCUCAUUUCGGCCCAAGUAUUAAGAGAUGGUAUUAGAACAUAAACAUUGUAUCUAAAUUAAAAACAGUUAUCGAAGUGCCAUGAUGAUUUAGUUCAUCAAGUCUAAGUUUAUGUAAAGAAUUACAUAAACAUUUAUUGAUCACAUCUUUGAAAUGGACUAAGAUGUUGUUCUUGUUCUUUUGA